UACGGAGGGAGCUAGCGUUGUUCGGAAUUACUGGGCGUAAAGCGCGCAUAGGCGGCUUUGUAAGUUAGAGGUGAAAGCCCGGGGCUCAACCCCGGAACUGCCUUUAAGACUGCAUCGCUUGAAUCCGGGAGAGGUGAGUGGAAUUCCGAGUGUAGAGGUGAAAUUCGUAGAUAUUCGCAAGAACACCAGUGGCGAAGGCGGCUCACUGGCCCGAUACUGACGCUGAGGCACGAAAGCGUGGGGAGCAAACAGG
rnacentral:rRNA from 1 species